rnacentral:rRNA from 1 species
ACGCCUAACACAUGCAAGUCGAACGCAGUAGCAAUACUGAGUGGCAGACGGGUGAGUAUAAUGUGGGAAUCUGCCUUUUGGUUCGGAAUAACUCGGGGAAACUUGAGCUAAUACCGGAUAAGCCCUUACGGGGAAAGAUUUAUCGCCGAAAGAUGAGCCCGCACUUGAUUAGCUUGUUGGUGAGGUAAAAGCUCACCAAGGCAACAAUCAAUAGCUGUUCUUAGAGGAAGACCAGCCACAUUGGGACUGAGACACGGCCCAGACUCCUACGGGAGGCAGCAGUGGGGAAUCUUGCACAAUGGGGGAAACCCUGAUGCAGCGAUGCCGCGUGAGUGAAGAAGGCCUUUGGGUUGUAAAACUCUUUCGUCGGGGAAGAAAAUGACUGUACCCGAAUAAGAAGGUCCGGCUAACUUCGUGCCAGCAGCCGCGGUAAUACGAAGGGACCUAGCGUAGUUCGGAAUUACUGGGCUUAAAGAGCUCGUAGGUGGUUAAAAAAGUUGGUGGUGAAAUCCCAAGGCUUAACCUUGGAACUGCCAUCAAAACUUUUUAGCUAGAGUGUGAUAGAGGAAAGUGGAAUUUCUAGUGUAGAGGUGAAAUUCGUAGAUAUUAGAAAGAACACCAAAUGCGAAGGCAACUUUCUGGAUCACUACUGACACUGAGGAGCGAAAGCAUGGGUAGCGAAGAGGAUUAGAUACCCUCGUAGUCCAUGCUGUAAACGAUGUGUGCUAGACGUUGGAAAUUUUAUUUUCAGUGUCGCAGCAAAAGCGUUAAGCACACCGCCUGGGGAGUACG